GACAUCUUCUCGACCCUGAGUUCUUUCAUUUUGAUCGCAAAGGAGACUAUAGGCUGCGUCUUCCUGCUGAAGUUGCCAGACGAGCAGGUCUUUCUCUUGAUCUUCAUCCUUUGAAAGUUCAAAACAUGGUUGGAGUUGUGGAGGUUUAUGAUGU